UCGGCCGAUUGUUACGCACAGUCGGCAGAAAUAUUAUAUAAUAAUAACGUUGAUAAACAAUAAACUUUUUACAUUUGUAUUUUGUCCGAUUAUUCACAAAUAGCAACACAAAUAACGCAAUUAUUCAGAAAUCAAAAUCAAAUAACAAUCGAUUUCCUCUAAACCGUCACAUGUUCUUAUAUGGGACGUGAAUUUCUGUUUGUUGGUGUAUUUUAUCCCGUUAGUCGCCAAUUACGAUGUUGACCGGGCGGUGUCCGUAUGACGUCGUUGCAGAACUGUUGAGUGACUUCCGAUUGAUGUCCAGACGCCGCUGCUGUCAAUGAUGUGGAUUAAUCUUCAGGUAGCCGGUUCCAGGUUAAUCAAGAUUACACUGGGAAUGCUAAAAGCUUUCCUAUCGCCAGACUUGUGUUGUGGCAAUAAAACAAUAUAUGUAUGUAAA